GGAAAUGCUGGCAGAAGAACAAAGUAGGGGAAUGGUAGGAGAUGUCAAUUAAAUUUUCACUGGAACAAUGGAAUUUGAUGUGUCUUUGGAAUAUCCUGUGGAAGAGAUGAAAUAGAGAGUUUCACAUCAAAGCCAUCAGCGCUGUCAAAAGUUUCAGUUUCUUCGAGACCGAAUUGCAAAAGCUCCCCAACAAUGGACUAUCUCCCUACCAAGAAUUUCUGGCAUCGAAGGACCUGUGAAGAAGGCAAGGAAAGAAAGAGGUGGCUGCUGUUGCAGUGUUUGCCAUUGAUUCAGAGGUUUUCCAGUGGACCUCAGGUUCCUGCAGGCUGCCUGGGCCAGAGCCAGGGCAUGACCACACAGAAGAUGAGGAAGGGGAGCUCUGCCUGUUCUCUGUUGCUCACUUCUGGUCACCACACCCACAUUGAGCUCAUCAAAUUUUGGAGGUGUGGUUUUAUAUUCACAGUCAUUAGAAAAAGAAUGACAUGAAUUACAACACCCAACUUUUCAGAUCUGAGAAUGUUUGACAUGCCAGGUGUCAUGAGGAAUCUGACUUGUUCUCAGACAUAGCCCAGAAAAGAAAAAGCAAAGUACUUUCGCACAAGGGUGUGCUACCAAAUCAGGUCUGCAGAGCAAUCACACCUGAGUUGGCAGUCCACAUCCCUAAUGCAGCUCUGACCCUUGACCUGAUGAACAAACUUAGGCGUACAAUUUAUGACUUUGCUAUAAUUGAGGUAUAACUGAGACUCUUCAUUUCUGUCUAAAGUUUUCUUAAAAAAAAUUUAAUCCUUCUGAUAACCAUUAACAUAUAGUGGUAGUUUCAUUGGAUUAGAAGAGCACUAGACUUUGGUUUGGUAGGGUCAUAAUUAGGUAAUAUUGUGUGAUGUUUUACCUCCAUUAUGGACAUAACAAAGGCACUAGAGUGUGUUGACUUUGAGCCCUUCUCCAGUAAGUAUUGUUCACUUUGAAAAUCAAUAUAGCCUCCCUUGAUUUCUUUUGAUUGGGAGAAUGAAGUAGAGUGGGAUGGUUUAUCCUACCAUUUGGUACUACAUAAUCUCAUGGAACCAGUCUUUGAGCACUGGCUUACU